GGCUGGUCCAAAGGUAGUGAGUUAGCUCAACUGAUCGUUCACAGUCAGUUACAGAUCAAAUUCCUUGUUCUACUCUUCCUACCUUCUCACUAGAGCACCAGACUAGUCUUAA
rfam:Chlorocebus sabaeus isolate 1994-021 chromosome 22, whole genome shotgun sequence.